GCACCGAUGACACACAAGGAUGAAGGAUUGCAUGGAAUCAGACUAGCAGAGAUGCGGCAGCUAAUGCUGCAUUUUAAGUGUUUUCUCCACGCGUGUAUCGAGUUCAACACACGGGUCCCCGCUGAACUGCCAGAGCUCCCACCCAGUUCGUGUGUAUUAAACACCGGGCUGCAGGAUCUCCAGGGUUGAUGGCAACACUACCUAAGCCGUACUUCAGCAGUCGCGGCUGUUUCAGAGGUGGUUUGAGGAAAUGUUAAAGCCUGUUCCUUCCGUGACUGGAUCUAAGGAUGCUUUAUCUAUGUAGUUAGUUACCAAAGCCUUUCAGACAAAACCACACAAAUAUUGAUGGCUGCCAAUAAUGCUUCUAUUGAUGUUCCUUUUUGUACAUUGUUACAUCUACAGAAAUGUUCCAAAUAUUUGAUGUUGGGGGACUCCCUUCCAUCAUUAUUCCCAAUGUAAAAACCACCAAGACACGCAUGACAGUUUGCAAAAGAAAUGGGUUUAUUACAGACAACUAGUAGAGGCGUGUCAUGAAGCCACGCUACUGCAUAUGAACCACAUACUUCAUAAUAGACGCACAUGGUUUGACGCGGAUGGAUCUGAACGAGUUGCAUUAGGCUGUGAGCCACGUACUGUAA